rnacentral:rRNA from 1 species
GACGAACGCUGGCGGCGUGCUUAACACAUGCAAGUCGAACGUGAUUUUUGUGGAAAUUCUUUCGGGAAUGGAAAUGAAAUGAAAGUGGCGAACGGGUGAGUAACACGUGAGCAACCUACCUUACACAGGGGGAUAGCCGUUGGAAACGACGAUUAAUACCGCAUGAGACCACAGAAUCGCAUGAUAUAGGGGUCAAAGAUUUAUCGGUGUAAGAAGGGCUCGCGUCUGAUUAGCUAGUUGGAAGGGUAAAGGCCUACCAAGGCGACGAUCAGUAGCCGGUCUGAGAGGAUGAACGGCCACAUUGGAACUGAGACACGGUCCAAACUCCUACGGGAGGCAGCAGUGGGGAAUAUUGCACAAUGGGGGGAACCCUGAUGCAGCGACGCCGCGUGAGCGAAGAAGGUUUUCGAAUCGUAAAGCUCUGUCCUAUGAGAAGAUAAUGACGGUAUCAUAGGAGGAGGCCCCGGCUAAAUACGUG